UACGUAGGGUGCAAGCGUUAAUCGGAAUUACUGGGCGUAAAGCGUGCGCAGGCGGUUGUGCAAGACCGAUGUGAAAUCCCCGGGCUUAACCUGGGAACUGCGUUUGAAACUGGGAGACUUUGAGUGUGGGCAGAGGGGGGUGGAAUUCCACGUGGUAGCAGUGAAAUGCGUAGAUAUGUGGAGGAACACCGAUGGCGAAGGCAGCCCCCUGGGUUAACACUGACGCGCUCGAUGCACGAAAGCGUGGGGAGCAAACAGG
rnacentral:rRNA from 1 species